rnacentral:tRNA from 1 species
UGAGGUGGAAACUUCACGUAGGAACUGCUAAUUCCUCAAACCAGGUUUAAUCUUCUUGGCCUCCU